rnacentral:tRNA from 1 species
AGAAGGGUGGUUUUGUGGUUGAGGCACUGGACUGGGACUCAGGGGAUCUGGGUUCAGUUCCCAACUCUUCUA